GUACACACCGCCCGUCAYACCAUGGGAGUUGGCUGUGUACCAGRRGUCGGUCGCUUAACCUUCGGGAGGGCGCCGACCACGGUGUGGUCAAUGACUGGGGUGAAGUCGUAACAAGGUAGCCGUAGGUGAACCUGCAGAAGGAUCA
rnacentral:rRNA from 1 species